GACGAACGCUGGCGGCGUGCUUAACACAUGCAAGUCGAACGGAAAGGCCCUGCUUUUGUGGGGUGCUCGAGUGGCGAACGGGUGAGUAACACGUGAGUAACCUGCCCUUGAAUUUGGGAUAAAUUCAGGAAAAUCGGGCUAAUACCGGAUAGAAGCUUCUGCUGCAUGGUGGGGGUUGGAAAGUUUCGGCGGUUGGGGAUGGACUCGCGGCUUAUCAGCUUGUUGGUGGGGUAGUGGCAUACCAAGGGUUAGACGGGUAGCCGGCCUGGGAGCUUGACCGGCGACAUGAGGACUGAGAGAGGGACCAGAAGCGUACGUUAGGCAGCAGUCGAAAAUAUGGCGCAGUGGCGGGAAGCGAGAGACAGCAGCGCUGCGUUCGUGAAACUGUGCUUUUGGUUAUAAACAGCUUUGGACUGUAACGAAGCCUGCGUGACGGUAAUGAGUAAGAAAGCCCCGGCUAACUACGUG
rnacentral:rRNA from 1 species